CAAUCUUAGGUAGUGUCAGGGCCCUGACUGGUGCGGUUCUUGUCUGGGACCCAGCCACAUUUGUCACAAUGUGACAAUGCAUUUGAUGUCUGGGGCCAGGGAACCCUGGUGACCGUCAGCUCAGUCUCCAUGACCAAGCCCAGCGUCUUCCCACUGAGCGGCCCUCGAGACAAGUCAGCCAACCAAGUGAUCAUUGGCUGCCUGAUUCAGAACUUCUUCCCCUCGGGGCCCGUGACCGUGACCUGGGGCAAGAAUGGAGAAGGCGUGACCGUCACUGACUUCCCGCCUGCCCAGGCCACAGGGGGCCUGUACACCAUGAGCAGCAAGCUGACCCUGCCAGCCUCCGAGUGCCCAGAGAACACAUCUGUGAAGUGCAGCGUGCAGCACACCUCAAACCCCACCCAGGAAGUGGAGGUGCCCUGUGAAGAACCUGUGGUGGUGCUCCCUCCCGUCUGCGGCCAACCCCGCCUCUCCCUGCUCCGGCCGGCCCUUGAGGACCUGCUCCUGGGCUCUGACGCCAGCCUCACGUGCACACUGAGUGGCCUCAAGAGUCCAGAAAAGGCCAGCUUCACCUGGGAGCCCUCAGUCGGGAAGAACGCUGUCCAGACGACUGGGCGAGACUCCUGCGGCUGCUACAGCGUGUCCAGUGUCCUGCCCGGCUGUGCCGAGCCCUGGAACCGCGGGGACAUCUUCACGUGCACGGCCACCCAUCCUGAGUCCAGCCAGACGCUAACUGCCACCAUCAGCAAAGCCACAGAGAACACCUUCCGGCCCCAGGUCCACCUGCUGCCGCCGCCGUCGGAGGAGCUGGCCCUGAACGAGCUGGUGUCGCUGACGUGCCUGGUGCGGGGCUUCAGCCCCGAGGACGUGCUGGUGCGCUGGCUGCACGGGGGCCAGGAGCUGCCCAGCAGCGAGUACCUGACGUGGAAGCCCCUGAAGGAGCCCGAGCAGGGCCCCACCACCUUCGCCGUGACCAGCGUGCUGCGCGUGACGGCCGCGUCCUGGAAGCAGGGGGACAACUUCUCCUGCAUGGUGGGCCACGAGACCCUGCCCCUGGCCUUCACCCAAAAGACCAUCGACCGCCUGUCGGGUCCUCUGUGUCUUCCAGACUGUCAGGAGCCACUGCCCUACGUGGUGCUGGACCAGCCACAGGAGAUCCUGGAGGAGGACGUCCCAGGGGCCAGCCUGUGGCCCACCACCGUCACCCUCCUCACCCUCUUCCUGCUGAGCCUGUUCUAUAGCACAGCGCUGACCGUCACGACCGUGCGGGGCCCGCCUGGCAGCAAAGAGGGCCCACAGUACUGAGGAGGAGACAGCCGGCCCAGGGAGGAAACGUGGAGACACCCUGGACGUGUCAGAGCUGAGCCCUGAGUGAGGCCACGGUCUCACCCCCACUCUCCACUUUCCCGUGCAAUAAACUGAUGCCAAACGCA